UAGCGCCACGCUAAACUUUCAUAAUGCCCGAGCAAGCGCUUCUUUCUUCUUACUCUUAUGAUAUUAUUAUGAAUCUUCAUUAGUUUCUACAUGGGAUAGAUUAUUUUUCUAUAUUUAUACUCCGAAAGGAUGACUUUACUGAGAUAAAUAAUCUCUUUUGCUUUUACAUGUGCUUAUUUGAAUCCUUUUAAAACAUCACAAAGGAAGGAUCAAUCGAGUAUAUUAUUAUUGGACAAGGACAUCUUUAUUCAUUUCACGCAGCGCAUCUGCAAAUAACUUAACGAGUUCGGAAUUAUACGAAAAUGAAGGAUCGAUCGAAAUGUCAAAUGAUUCUCAGCUUCUAGAGGAAUCGCCGAUAACGGCAAUACAAACAUCAUUAAUUUUAAUGAAAUUAGAAAUGAUUAAGCCAAGUAUGGAAAAUGUGCCAUCAACGAACUCGGAAAAAGCUUUUACCUGUAUCGAAGAAAAUACGAGGAUGGAAUUGCCCUUUUUAGAUAAUUCAAACAAUGAAUCAAUACAAAAUUUAACUAAUAUCGAAGAAAACAUUAUUAGCGGUUCAACAUUUACUUUUUCUACAAAACAAACAAAGGAGAUGUCAAUGAAACUUAUGAUUAGCUGCGACACUAUAACAACGCAAGCAGCAACCCCUUAUUCUUCAUCCAUGUCUGCAAGUACACUUGUACCAUCAAGAGAUAUUUUACAAAUAUCUGCAGCUCCCUUAUCCUCUAUAGGAUCUACUCCUAAAAGCGAAAUUUUAACAUUCACUACCGAUUAUAACAAUCGUUCACCCGAUACUUGUAGUGUACUCGUAGAUGUAGUUGACCAGCACGAUCCAUUAUCGACUUUUAAUCGAGAUCUACAGCUAUCAAUCGAGGAGUCGUUUGAUUUACCACAACGAAGUAUAUCAUCUAUAAGAAAUGAUUUUGCAAAUCGAGCAAGACAAUCUCGUCAAACUUGGAAAUUUGGAAAAUGUUUGUGUUGUACUGCACCGAUAGACGAUGAGGUUUCAAUGUUUUAUUUCUUUCAGGAUUUAAUCGAUUGUAUCAUAGGUGCUUCUACAUAUUUUUAAUCAAUUCGCCUAACAGAUUGAUACGUUACCACAUUUAAGAGAAGAUCCACCUACAUAUUCAUCGAUAUACGUUAACCCAACAACGAUAUUACAUCAAAGAUCACCAGUUACGCGAUCUAAUUUGCGGGGUAAUGGAAGAUUUAUUUUUCCAGAUACUAAUCAAUCGUCUUUCAUAGCACCUAUUCCUCCACCAAGUUAUGCUCAAGCUCAGGGUAUUCAACUUAACUCAUAUUCAACUGAACAAAAUCUCUCGGUUUCAUCAAAUAUUAAUACUUGGUCCUCAAGACCUGUAGCUACUAUUUGUACAAGAUGUUUAGCCCUUAUCGUUACCACAACAGAAGUUCGUCGAUCGACUAUUACACAUUUAAGUGCAUUUCUUCUUUGCCUAUGUGGGUUAGUAAAUAAAUACAAAAAGUGU